rnacentral:rRNA from 1 species
CCUACGGGAGGCAGCAGUGGGGAAUAUUGCACAAUGGGCGAAAGCCUGAUGCAGCGACGCCGCGUGAGGGAUGACGGCCUUCGGGUUGUAAACCUCUUUCAGCAGGGAAGAAGCGAAAGUGACGGUACCUGCAGAAGAAGCACCGGCUAACUACGUGCCAGCAGCCGCGGUAAUACGUAGGGUGCGAGCGUUGUCCGGAAUUAUUGGGCGUAAAGAGCUUGUAGGCGGUUUGUCGCGUCUGCCGUGAAAAUUCGAGGCUCAACCUCGAACUUGCGGUGGGUACGGGCAGACUAGAGUGUGGUAGGGGAGACUGGAAUUCCUGGUGUAGCGGUGAAAUGCGCAGAUAUCAGGAGGAACACCGAUGGCGAAGGCAGGUCUCUGGGCCACUACUGACGCUGAGAAGCGAAAGCAUGGGGAGCGAACAGGAUUAGAUACCCUGGUAGUCCAUGCCGUAAACGUUGGGAACUAGGUGUGGGUCUCAUUCCACGAGAUCCGUGCCGCAGCUAACGCAUUAAGUUCCCCGCCUGGGGAGUACGGCCGCAAGGCUAAAACUUAAGGAAUUGACGGCUGAGACGNGCGAGACGACGACGAGGGAGAG